GUGUCAGCCGCCGCGGUAAUACGGAGGGUGCGAGCGUUAUUCGGAAUUACUGGGCGUAAAGCGCGUGCAGGCGGGAAAGUAAGUCUGAUGUGAAAGCCCCGGGCUUAACCUGGGAAGUGCAUUGGAUACUGCUUUUCUUGAGUACUGGAGAGGAAGGGGGAAUUCCCGGUGUAGAGGUGAAAUUCGUAGAGAUCGGGAGGAAUACCAGUGGCGAAGGCGCCCUUCUGGACGGUUACUGACGCUGAGACGCGAAAGCGUGGGGAGCAAACAGGAUUAGAUACCCUUGUAGUCC
rnacentral:rRNA from 1 species